GACGAACGCUGGCGGCGUGCCUAAUACAUGCAAGUCGAACGCUUUUUCUUUCACCGGAGCUUGCUCCACCGAAAGAAAAGGAGUGGCGAACGGGUGAGUAACACGUGGGUAACCUGCCCAUCAGAAGGGGAUAACACUUGGAAACAGGUGCUAAUACCGUAUAACAAUAGAAACCGCAUGGUUUCUAUUUGAAAGGCGCUUUUGCGUCACUGAUGGAUGGACCCGCGGUGCAUUAGCUAGUUGGUGAGGUAACGGCUCACCAAGGCAACGAUGCAUAGCCGACCUGAGAGGGUGAUCGGCCACAUUGGGACUGAGACACGGCCCAAACUCCUACGGGAGGCAGCAGUAGGGAAUCUUCGGCAAUGGACGAAAGUCUGACCGAGCAACGCCGCGUGAGUGAAGAAGGUUUUCGGAUCGUAAAACUCUGUUGUUAGAGAAGAACAAGGAUGAGAGUAAAAUGUUCAUCCCUUGACGGUAUCUAACCAGAAAGCCACGGCUAACUACGUGCCAGCAGCCGCGGUAAUACGUAGGUGGCAAGCGUUGUCCGGAUUUAUUGGGCGUAAAGCGAGCGCAGGCGGUUUCUUAAGUCUGAUGUGAAAGCCCCCGGCUCAACCGGGGAGGGUCAUUGGAAACUGGGAAACUUGAGUGCAGAAGAGGAGAGUGGAAUUCCAUGUGUAGCGGUGAAAUGCGUAGAUAUAUGGAGGAACACCAGUGGCGAAGGCGGCUCUCUGGUCUGUAACUGACGCUGAGGCUCGAAAGCGUGGGGAGCAAACAGGAUUAGAUACCCUGGUAGUCCACGCCGUAAACGAUGAGUGCUAAGUGUUGGAGGGUUUCCGCCCUUCAGUGCUGCAGCUAACGCAUUAAGCACUCCGCCUGGGGAGUACGACCGCAAGGUUGAAACUCAA
rnacentral:rRNA from 1 species